rnacentral:rRNA from 1 species
UACGGAGGGUGCAAGCGUUAAUCGGAAUUACUGGGCGUAAAGCGCGCGUAGGUGGUUUUUUAAGUUGGAUGUGAAAGCCCUGGGCUCAACCUGGGAAUUGCAUCCAAAACUGAGAGACUCGAGUACAGUAGAGGGGGGUAGAAUUUCCGGUGUAGCGGUGAAAUGCGUAGAGAUCGGAAGGAAUACCAGUGGCGAAGGCGGCCUCCUGGCUCGACAUUGACGCUGAGGUGCGAAAGCGUGGGGAGCAAACGGG